rnacentral:rRNA from 1 species
CCUACGGGCCGCACCAGUAGGGAAUAUUGGACAAUGGGCGAAAGCCUGAUCCAGCAAUGCCGCGUGAGUGAUGAAGGCCUUAGGGUUGUAAAGCUCUUUUACCCGGGAUGAUAAUGACAGUACCGGGAGAAUAAGCUCCGGCUAACUCCGUGCCAGCAGCCGCGGUAAUACGGAGGGAGCUAGCGUUGUUCGGAAUUACUGGGCGUAAAGCGCACGUAGGCGGCUAUUCAAGUCAGAAGUGAUAGCCCGGGGCUCAACCCCGGAACUGCCUUUGAAACUAGAUAGCUUGAAUCCAGGAGAGGUGAGUGGAAUUCCGAGUGUAGAGGUGAAAUUCGUAGAUAUUCGGAAGAACACCAGUGGCGAAGGCGGCUCACUGGACUGGUAUUGACGCUGAGGUGCGAAAGCGUGGGGAGCAAACAGGAUUAGAUACCCGGGUAGUC